AGAUUCGAAAAAUAAGACUACAGUCACUAUUAAGGAAGAUGUUGAUGCUGACUCAGAUGAUGAUGAUAUCUUUAAACCUCCCAAGCUAACUGAUGAAGAUUUCUCACCGUUUGGUUCUAAAGAUGGACUCUUCAGUGGUGGGACAGGACUCUUCGAUGAUGACGAGAAGGAUCUUUUUGCUGAAUUGCCAAAAGAGGAAAAGGAAAAAGAAGCACGAAUUCCAAUAAAUGAUAGUAAGAAUUUUUGUAAAACUUAAUGAUUUAAUAGAUUUAACACAAGAAAACUUUGUAGUUCAUUUGGGAAAGAAAGAUGGUCUUUUUUUUUUAAACGUUGCUUUGGAAGUAUAUUGAGACAAACAUGAUACGAUCCUAAAUGAGGAUAUAUUUAAGCCUCCCCAAGUUUACUAAAGAAUAUUGUAGAAUGCAGCUUUAUUUUUCCAAGUGUAACUAUAAAAUGUGGUUACUCCCCCAAAGAGCCUUUCAUUGAUUCUUUUUUAUUUUCAUGGGAUAUACGUAAACAUUUACUUUCCACACACUUGAUUGGCACCUGAUGCACUGACAACAGAGCUUCCAUAACUCCAUUAGGGUCAUCUUCCUUACGCUCUACAUGAGUGACCCUCAACCUUUAGGGUACCAGGGACCGGUUCCAUGGAGAAAGGUGGGUGUGGUUUUGUGUGCUGCCUGCAUACUGUGGGUGGAGCUUGUUUGUGCAGCCCGAUUGCUGGCAUGCUUUGGAUCGGUGUUGGUCCACAGACUGGGGGUUGGGGACCCCUGGUCUACACGUUAGGACUUCACUGUUUCCCCCAACCCUUAUAUUCCAUCUACUCACAGGUGAGUCCUCUACAUGGGGCAGCCCUUGAAGA